GAUGAAGAACGUAGCGAAAUGCGAUAAGUAAUGUGAAUUGCAGAAUUCAGUGAAUCAUCGAAUCUUUGAACGCACCUUGCGCUCCUUGGUAUUCCGAGGAGCAUGCCUGUUUGAGUGUCAUUAAUAUAUCAACCUUCUCUUUUUUGAGUUGUUUGGAUGUGGUGGUUUGCUGGCCUCUUAAAUGAUUCAGCUCCCCUGAAAUGCAUUAGCAGAACAACCUGUUCAUUAGCGUGAUAAUUAUCUAUGCUAUUGAAUGUGAGGGCAGUUCAGCUUUCUAACCGUCCUUGGACAAUUCAUCAUUAAUGUGACCUCAAAUCAGGUAGGACUACCCGCUGAACUUAAGCAUAUCAAUAAGCGGAGGA
rnacentral:misc_RNA from 1 species